rnacentral:rRNA from 1 species
UUGAUCCUGGCUCAGGAUGAACGCUGGCGGUAUGCCUUACACAUGCAAGUCGAACGGAAAUUAGCUUCGGUUAAUUUUAGUGGCGGACGGGUGAGUAACACGUGAGAAUUCGCCUUUAGGAGGGGGAUAACGGAUGGAAACAUUCGCUAAAACCCCAUAUGCCCCUGGGUGAAACAGAGGAGAUAAGUAAUACUGACUCACCUCUGCCUGAAGAGAAGCUCGCGGCUGAUUAGCUAGUUGGUAGGGUAAAGGCCUACCAAGGCGACGAUCAGUAGCUGGUCUGAGAGGACGAUCAGCCACACUGGAACUGAGACACGGUCCAGACUCCUACGGGAGGCAGCAGUGAGGAAUUUUCUGCAAUGGGCGAAAGCCUGACAGAGCAAUACCGCGUGAGGGAUGAAGACUUACUGAGUUGUAAACCUCGGUACCUUAAGGAAGAAGAUCUGACGGUACUUAAGGUGGAAAGCAUCGGCUAACUCCGUGCCAGCAGCCGCGGUAAGACGGGGGAUGCAAGUGUUAUCCGGAUUUACUGGGCGUAAAGCGUCUGCAGGUGGUUUCUUAAGUCUACUGUUAAAUCUUGAGGCUCAACCUCAAAUCUGCAGUAGAAACUAGGAGACUUGAGUAUAGUAGGGGUAGAGGGAAUUUCCAGUGGAGCGGUGAAAUGCGUAGAUAUUGGAAAGAACACCGAUGGCGAAGGCACUCUACUGGGCUAUUACUGACACUCAGAGACGAAAGCUAGGGGAGCAAAUGGGAUUAGAUACCCCAGUAGUCCUAGCCGUAAACGAUGGAUACUCGAUGUUGGACGUAUCGACCCGUUCAGUAUCU